ACAGCUCAAUUAGAUGUAAGCCAGUCCCAGGGCUGAAAGUUUCGUUUGGUGGCAAGAGAUGGCCAGUUGUGGCUCUGUGUCCCUCAUUACUUGGUGAUUUCGUCUAGGUCACCUUCAUGAUGCCCUUUCGUGUGUAAAGAGAACAUCUUGUGUCUGUGUGGAUGUGGCACCUGUCAAUAAUAAAUCUGAUGGCCUAUGGCUUAAGCAAUAAAUAGGAGGUGGGACAUCCAGGAGGCAGAAAAGAUCCUGGGAUACUGCCAGGCGGGAGAUUCGCCGGGGAAGAUGUGACAAGAAAGAUGCAUAGUCCCUCGAGCACAGGUUUCCACUUCUACACAUCCCUUCUUUCUGCUUGUUCCUGAGACUACGCCCAGUGACAAGUCCCCAGCGAGCCUGGGGAGCAGAGUGAGCACACAGCAAAGUCGCGGCGAGCAACCUGACCUGGGAACAAAGGGUGUGCAUGCCUGGGAGGAAGGCCAGAAAUCGUGCAAACUCCUCAGUGGGAAGAUUGAAGUCAAAGCGAGGUCCACAGGCGUGGAGACAUCAGUGUUAACACUGCUACUGAGCACUGCACUGGCAGCGAGCAUGUUACUUGUCACCUCGAAUAAUUACAUUGCUGCUACUUCUAUGUUGAAGCAUGCUUUUGAAACACUGUAGUUAUUCAAUAUUUACAAUGUUUAUCAUUUAAACUCCAUGUAAAAGCACAAGUAUGACCGUCUGACUUUAAUAUAAACACCAUACUUGGAAUUUUCCCCCAAAUGAAAUGUAAUAUACAUUUUGCUAAUGCAGCAGCUGCAUCUCUGUGUUCAUAAAAUUCCACAAAGCAAUAUGGGUCAUUGCUUGUAUGCUGCAAAACAGAAAAUCCAACAGAAGAGUUGACCCUUCUGCUAUCGGGUUGCUGAGAAGAAAAUCCAGGAAAAAACAUUACUGACAGCUAGGAAUGCACAAGGCAGAAGACGAAAGAAAGCAGCAGAGAAAAGAAACACUCAGGUGUCCCCUGCGUGUGGAAGAAUGAAUAUUUACCAGAUACACUCACUGACGAUGGGCAGACAGACCACAGAGGGGGGUAGGAAACGCCAAUUAAGCGGUUGGAAGAUGCGAUUCAUUCAUUAGAUUGGGCUUCAGGUGAAACCCGACAGCUAUACCGCGAAAAAUAGCACUCAAAAGACAGGCUCACAGAGUCCGGGGCUGUCCGUCGUCUUCCAUCAUGGCCGCUCCGGACACUGCAUCGGGCAACACCAGAUCCAGCCUUGUCUUUGAGCACGUGUUCUAACCAGAUAGGCCUUUCUAGACUAUACCGCUUGUAACUUGCUUUACAAGUUCCACAAGGAUCGCUACCCAUUAUCUCAUCGGAUUAGUGGGUAAGGCUGCAAAAGAGCAGCCCCUCAUUCAAAUGGCUUGUACCGCUCUUUCAAAUCCCUACUUAAAACUUAAAUAUUCGCGUGGUGGCGCACAGUGCUACUGAACAGGAGGAUAAUGGAUUUAAGGCCAGCCUAGAAAUAGAUACCAAGACCUUAUCAAAAACUAAUAAUCAGUGAAAACAGCAAAGAGGCUCAACGACCAGGUCUCAUGCCAAAACAGUCUGGAGUUCGGUAUUGGAGGACACGGGCUGCUAGUAUUGAGAUGCUAAAGCAAGAGAGGAGAUAGAAUCAUGACAAUCUACUGGAUGUACACCACAUUUGUGGCUGAGGCCCCUAGGGGUCAGACGAAGGGAUGGCAUUCCCUGCCUGAGACUGGAGUUAACAGUGGUUGUGAGCUGCAUAUGAGUGCUGAGAACCAAACUGGAAGCCACUGUACAGUGGGAGAUUGGAGGCUGCUUCUCCAUGAGCCUAGGAAGGAGAGAGUAAGUCUGAACGAGAAACGGAUUAUAUCCCAAAGUGAAAAAGGAAAGAGCAACUGGGCGUGGUGGCGCACGCCUUUGAUCCCAGCACUUGGGAGGCAGAGGCAGGCGAACUACAGAAUGAGUUCCAGGACAGCCAAGGCUAUACACAGCAAAUCCUAUCUCGAAAAAGCCAAAAAAAAAAAAAAUUAAUUUUUUUUUUAAAAAAGGAAAGGAAAGAACUUCAGAGAGCUUCAGAAAUCUACACAAGUGAAACAAAGGGGUCAGAAAAAAAAAUAGGGAAGGGAAGAGGUGGGGAAGGCACCAAGCUCAGCCUCAGCCAUACAGUUCCCAUCCACUUCCAAAAGGCAUUUCAAGUCAAGCAUAGACUAAUACCGUACAUGACGGUCAGACCAAGGCUGGAGAAAUACUUAAAAGAAUGUUAUACAGAGGAGAGGGGAAGUCUCAGUCACAAAUCACAAAAAAAAUAAUGAAUUUCAUAAAACGAAUAGCUGAACAAAUUAAAACUAAGAAGGAAUCCAUCAUGAUCUACACAGUAAUCCAGGGAACCUCUGAUACUGAUAGGGGAGAAAGUAAAAAACAAACAGUAAUCCAACCAAUGAGAGAAACAGUGGACAAAAUUACAGUAGUUAGUAUGCAUCUCUCAUACUAGUACCCUUAAAUAUAAAUGGCCCCACCUUGCCAAUAAAGCGAUGCAGAGUGUCUAACUAGAAUUAAAAGACUAUAUCCAACUAUCCGUUGACUGCAAGAAACACAUCUCAGUGAUGAAGACACUAACAGACAAAGUCGAAGGAUGGAAAGCAAGCCAGGGGAAACAAAAGCAUGCUGGCAUAGCCGUUCUAACAUCGGAUAAAGUAGAUUUCAAAAUUAAAGAAAUGAAGGCCUCUAUAUAUUAAUAAAGGAGAAAAUGCAUGAAGAAGACACUAAACAAUUGUGUAUAUGUAAAAAUCCAUUUUUCUUUCCCAUUCCCUGCUCCCAGAAUGAUGACUCGAGACUAUUUAUUAAUAAAUGCCUUGGCCACAAGCUUAUGAUGGCGAUUGCGGUUGAUGUCACUGGAAGAAUGACCACUAUCCGGAAGGUUCCCACUCAUGGCCCAGCAGGGGGAGCUCUCUUUCUAAGGAGCCACUCUGCACUACCCGGGGGGCCUGGCUUUGCCUUAAAGAAUCCAAGGUCCUUCGCCGGAUAACUCUGUACGGCAUCCGAUCCCUUGCCAAGGUUGAAAUGUAAGCUCUCGACUGUUGCUCCAGCACCAUGCUGCCUGCUGCCAUGCUCCCCACCAUGACGCGAUGGACUCUUAUCUCUUUGGAACCUAAGCCCAAAUAAAUCCUUCCUUCUA
rnacentral:lncRNA from 1 species